GGUUGAUCCUGCCAGUAGUCAUACGCUCGUCUCAAAGAUUAAGCCAUGCAUGUCUAAGUAUAAACAAUUGUACAGUGAAACUGCGAAUGGCUCAUUAUAUCAGUUAUAGUCUACUUGAUAGUACCUUACUACUUGGAUAACCGUAGUAAUUCUAGAGCUAAUACAUGCACAAAGCCUGCCCCUUGUUGGAAUGGCUGCAUUUAUUAGAUUGAAACCAAUGCAGCUUUUGCUGGUAUUGAGUUGAGUCAUAGUAACUGUGCGGAUCGCGUUUUCGGACGCGAUAAAUCAAUUG
rnacentral:rRNA from 1 species